AAUAGAUACCCCGGUAGUCCACGCCGUAAACGAUGAGUGCUAAGUGUUAGGGGGUUUCCACCCCUUAGUGCUGCAGCUAACGCAUUAAGCACUCCGCCUGGGGAGUACGGUCGCAAGACUGAAACUCAAAGGAAUUGACGGGGGCCCGCACAAGCGGUGGAGCAUGUGGUUUAAUUCGAAGCAACGCGAAGAACCUUACCAGGUCUUGACAUCCCGCUGACCGCUAUGGAGACAUAGCCUUCCCUUCGGGGACAGCGGUGACAGGUGGUGCAUGGUUGUCGUCAGCUCGUGUCGUGAGAUGUUGGGUUAAGUCCCGCAACGAGCGCAACCCUUGUCCUUAGUUGCCAUCAUUCAGUUGGGCACUCUAAGGAGACUGCCGUACAAAUACGGAGGAAGGUGGGGAUGACGUCAAAUCAUCAUGCCCCUUAUGACCUGGGCUACACACGUGCUACAAUGGACGGUACAAACGGUCGCGAAGUCGCGAGACGGAGCCAAUACCGAAAAAACCCGUUCUCAGUUCGGAUUGCAGGCUGCAACUCG
rnacentral:rRNA from 1 species